rnacentral:rRNA from 1 species
GGGCUAAUGCCGGAUAACAUAUAGAACCGCAUGGUUACUAUAGUGAAAGAUGGUUUUGCUAUCACUUAUAGAUGGACCCGCGCCGUAUGGUUGUAGCUAGUUGGUAAGGUAAUGUGCUUACCAAGGCGACGAUACGUAGCCGACCUGAGAGGGUGAUCGGCCACACUGGAACUGAGACACGGUCCAGACUGCCUACGGGAGGCAGCAGUAAGGUGGGAAUCUUCCGCAAUGGGCGAAAGCCUGACGGAGCAACGCCGCGUGAGUGAUGAAGGGUUUCGGCUCGUAAAACUCUGUUAUUAGGGAAGAACAUAUGUGUCCCAAGUAACUGUGCACAUCUUGGACGGUACCUAAUCAGAAAGCCACGGCUAACUACGAUUGCCAGCAGCUCUUGACAUCCUUUGACCACUCUAGAGAUAGAGCUUUCCCCUUCGGGGGACAAAGUGACAGGUGGUGCAUGGUUGUCGUCAGCUCGUGUCGUGAGAUGUUGGGUUAAGUCCCGCAACGAGCGCAACCCUUAAGCUUAGUUGCCAUCAUUAAGUUGGGCACUCUAGGUUGACUGCCGGUGACAAACCGGAGGAAGGUGGGGAUGACGUCAAAUCAUCAUGCCCCUUAUGGAUUUGGGCUACACACGUGCUACAAUGGACAAGCUUACAAAGGGCAGCUAAACCGCGAGGUCAUGCAAAUCCCAUAAAGUUGUUCUCAGUUCGGAUUGUAGUCUGCAACUCGACUACAUGAAGCUGGAAUCGCUAGUAAUCGUAG